rnacentral:rRNA from 1 species
AGCGAACGUUAGCGGCGCGCCUAACACAUGCAAGUCGCACGAGAAACGGAGCAAUCCGCGGUACAGUGGCGCACGGGUGAGUAACACGUGGAUGACCUUCCCUGGAGUGGUGGAUAACCUGCCGAAAGGCGGGCUAAUACAGCAUGGGACCACGACGCUUUGGCGAUGUGGUGAAAGCGGGCCUCUAUAUAUAAGCUCGCGCUCCGGGACGGGUCCGCGUCCCAUCAGCUAGUUGGUGAGGUAACGGCUCACCAAGGCAACGACGGGUAGCUGGUCUGAGAGGAUGGCCAGCCACACUGGAACUGAGACACGGUCCAGACUCCUACGGGAGGCAGCAGUGGGGAAUCUUGCGCAAUGGGCGAAAGCCUGACGCAGCGACGCCGCGU